UACGUAGGGGGCUAGCGUUGUCCGGAUUUAUUGGGCGUAAAGAGCGUGUAGGCGGCCAGGUAGGUCUGGUGUGAAAACUCGAGGCUUAACCUCGAGAUGUCAUCGGAAACCAUCUGGCUAGAGUCCGGAAGAGGAGAGUGGAAUUCCCAGUGUAGCGGUGAAAUGCGUAGAUAUUGGGAGGAACACCAGUGGCGAAGGCGGCUCACUGGGGGUUUUCUGACGCUGAGGAACGAAAGCCAGGGUAGCGAACGGG
rnacentral:rRNA from 1 species